AUUGAACGCUGGCGGCAGGCCUAACACAUGCAAGUCGAGCGGAUGAAGGGAGCUUGCUCCUGCAUUCAGCGGCGGACGGGUGAGUAAUGCCUAGGAAUCUGCCUGGUAGUGUGGGAUAACGUCCGGAAACGGGCGCUAAUACCGCAUACGUCCUGAGGGAGAAAGUGUGGGAUCUUCGGACCUCACGCUAUCAGAUGAUCCUAGGUCGGAUUAGCUAGUUGGUGGGGUAAAGGCCUACCAAGGCGACGAUCCGUAACUGGUCUGAGAGGAUGAUCAGUCACACUGGAACUGAGACACGGUCCAGACUCCUACGGGAGGCAGCAGUGGGGAAUAUUGGACAAUGGGCGAAAGCCUGAUCCAGCCAUGCCGCGUGUGUGAAGAAGGUCUUCGGAUUGUAAAGCACUUUAAGUUGGGAGGAAGGGCAGUAAGUUAAUACCUUGCUGUUUUGACGUUACCAACAGAAUAAGCACCGGCUAACUUCGUG
rnacentral:rRNA from 1 species